AUGGUGACACGGGUUGCGUCGACCAAGACUCCACUGACGAGACGUACGCUCACGGAGCGCAUUGCUGCCCGUUCUGUCAAGACCAAACAGCGGUUACUGGACGAGUUGGGGAGAGCGGAGUUCAUCGGGGGCAACCACAGCUGCUGGCUUUCCUUUUCAUAUAUGUUUAGUGCGUUCCUCGGGAUCACCGCCUUGUGGCUUGAUCCGUUGAUACUGGAAAGAAAGACGGCGGCACUGUGUUGCAGAAGACAAAGAAGCAGCAUGACAUAUGAAAAGAUUGCUGAGGAGCUAGAGGAAAAUGUUUCUAGAUUACAAGGUGCACACCAAAGUGGUCGAGGUGAUCACGGAUAAUACUUCGAAUUUCCUCGAGGCAUUCCGAGUUUAAGGCCACUCUGACGAAAAGAGUGAUUAGUUAGACAUAGUGGAUUUGGCGUUAGUUCUGAAGAAUGAAUGGUCAGCCGUUCCGUUUGCCUGCCCAUCGAAGGUGCGCCACGCACACGCUGAAGCUUGUAAACAUUGAGUCAGUCGGUCUUCGGUAGUGCCAGAGCUUCUGGGCCAAGCAAAACCAAUCAACAUUGGCGGCGGAUGAAACUCAUGACCUCUGCGGAAGGCAUCUUGUUCUCCUCAACACCACGCGUUGGAAUUCCCGGUGCGACGCGAUGCGAUGCUGCAAGGAUAUUGGAAAUGGAUAA